rnacentral:rRNA from 1 species
GAUGAACGCUAGCUACAGGCUUAACACAUGCAAGUCGAGGGGUAACGAGAGGAAAGCUUGCUUUCCUUGUCGACGACCGGCGCACGGGUGAGUAACGCGUAUCCAACCUGCCCCCAACUAGGGAAUAACCUUGCGAAAGUAAGACUAAUACCCUAUAAUUUCCUCAGAUGACAUCUGACGAGGAAUAAAGAUUUAUCGGUUGUGGAUGGGGAUGCGUCUGAUUAGCUUGUUGGCGGGGUAACGGCCCACCAAGGCAACGAUCAGUAGGGGUUCUUGGGGGAAGGUCCCCAACAUGUGAACUGAGACACGGUCCAAACUCCUACGGGAGGCAGCAGUGAGGAAUAUUGGUCAAUGGGCGGAAGCCUGAACCAGCCAAGUAGCGUGCAGGAUGACGGCCCUAUGGGUUGUAAACUGCUUUUAUACAGGAAUAAAGUUAGCCACGUGUGGUUAUUUGUAGGUACUGUAUGAAUAAGGACCGGCUAAUUCCGUGCCAGCCGCCGCAGUAA